UACCGGAGUCUUUUCUGUGUCC
rnacentral:miRNA from 1 species